ACAAAAGGGAAAAAGCGGGGGCGGGUGCGAGCCCGCUUUCCGCGUUUAUCCCGAAAUCCUGUAUUCACCCCAAGUUCCUUUAAAACUUACCAAUAAAAAAACUUGCUACGAGACCACCUCUUGAUUGGUGGCGCUUAAUGCAAAAGCGA
rnacentral:misc_RNA from 1 species